GCUUCAAAGGUAAAAGGUGAUUCUGGUCCUGAAGAGCAGCAUCAGAAGAAGAUAGGCUCUCUCACUCUCCAGAAGUUCUCAGGAGAUCUCAGUCCUGGUCCAAGACAAUUUGCCCGACUGAAGUCUGGAAGACAGCACAUUGCAAAAAAGGUCAUGAAUGACCCACUCCUGGAAAAAAAACCCACAUACCAGCUUCAUUUACUAUAAAGUUCCUUUAGGAAAUAAGUCAAAGGAUAUGAAAGCCAUCAUCAGGGUAUGCUUAAAAUUCUCUGAAGACACAAUUGCACAUCUAUAUUUUAAAUUAAAAACUUUAAGAAAUAUAUAAUAAUAUCUUUAUGACCACAAUCUCACAUUGAGUGCUUAUAGUGGUCCCACAUGGUGAUGUGAACUUCAUAUAAUUAUUUCAUUUGAUUAUUUCCACAGCUCUGUAAGGUGACUACUAUUGUCCGUACAUCAUAGGUUUUAGAAACCAUAGAGAAAGAUUUAGUAACUUGCUUAUUUUCAUAUGUUCCAUCAACUCACAAAUGUUCACAAAGAGUUCAAAAACUCUUCUUAAGAGCUUCCUUACCUAUAGGUUAAGGAAAAAUCCUUAUCUCAUAAAGUUAAAAAUCUUGUUCUCAUCGUUCAGGGAACAAUGACCUAAAAAUUAGUAUACAAAAGACUUGAAGAAAAUAUGAGGAGAAGCAGUUUUUUCCAAUUGGGUUUAUGGAAAUCUAUUUCAGAAUAUCAGCCUUCAAAUUGAGCACAGAUUUUUUAAAUGACAUUAUUGGCCAAACUACUCUGUAAGAACAAGCCUUAAAGUCACCUUCCAGAUUACCUUUACGAUAAUGUUCAAUGAGCAUCAGAGUCCAACUUAAAAUAUCUUAACUCUCUUUGGUUUGAAGCUGCAUAAUUUAUAUCAAAACCACCACGCUAUAAAGACUUAUGUUGGAGCAACCAAAAGGAUGAGAGGCAGAACAAAAUUCUGCAAGGUAUCACUGACAGAUAAGAAUGGUACACCAAGAGCAUUGGACACUAUACCCAUCUUCAUCAUGACCUUGUUUGUAGACAAAAGCAAGUCACUCAAUCCUUAGGGUCUCAGUUCGAUGAAAAAGUUAUUGACUAGAGGAGAUUACUUAAUGUUUCUUCAAGUUCUCUAAGUAAUUUUUUUAGGUGAAAAGAGACAAUAGCCAGACCAUAAUGGUGGACAGUAGUCAGUAUCAGGGAUGAAUCUGUUUCAUAUACAAGUAAAGCACAUGCACCAAAAGGCAAGCCCAAAUGGUUAAAGACUUGGCACGGUACCUCUAAGUGAUACAGAAGAAUGUAUUUCAGUUUUUCAGUUUUAUUUAUACACAAUAAAAUAUUUAAGAGAAUACUUAACCAUUCUUUUCAGGAACAAAUAAAAGACUAUUUGUAAUCUUGAAGGCAAUAUUCAAGAAAAAUAUAUAUUGUUCUCAGAUAGUUUUUAAAAAGCAGUGUUUAACAAUAUUUUUGGCAAAGGGAAAAUUGUGAAUAACAUGGUAUGCAGCUGUGUAUGGAAAAACUAAAAAUGGAACUGUAAUUUGGUCUUAAAUUAGAAACACAUCUGAGUUUAGUUAACAAUUUGAGAGUGAUAUUAAUUUGUUUCUUUCACUCAAUUGUUUUAUAUGUGUCAAAGAGAAGAGAGAGGGAAGGAGAAGAAGGAGAAAAGGAGGAAGGAGAAGGAUUCAAGGCAGGAGAGGGAAAGAGAAAAUGUAUGACAACUAAACACAAAUAUCACAGUGCAUAUGUGAUCUUUAUUCUGCUUACAGUUAGGCUUUCUAAAAAUAGGCAAAAGUACUUUACCUUGAAAAGGAAAACCAUUGAAGUUCUUUCAAAAUCGACUAAAAAGGCAAGGUGUUUAAGAUAAACCUAUGACUUCUUAGCUGUAUAAUCUAAUCUUAAGUGUGCUUCAGGCUUACCAUUACUUCCAAUAACAGACACACAAAUACAAAACCAAUAAAACCCAUUAAAAAGUCCUAUGAGACUGUGAAAACUGUAUUUGACUAAAUUACAAGAUCUAAGGGCAUAGAAUAGAUUUAUUCGUAAUCAGUAAUGAUUACUAAAUGACCAUAAAUGUUUCUUAUUUAGGCCAUACCCAACUGCAAACAAGCCAGCGUCCCAUGGAGAUUCAAGGACAUCAUAUCUAUAGCCCAAACACAGUCAAUUCCAUGAUACUAAUCUAAACAAUCUAAUACAUUCUCUAGGAAAUUUAUUUAAUGCUAAAAAUGUGAACAGUGGUACUCACAUGUGUUAAGUCACACAAAAUCAGAAAGAAAGAAAUUGAGAAAUACAUUAACUUUUGUUACAAUACCAGAUAUUAUCAAGUUAGUCUUUAAAUGACUUUUCAACACCCAAGGAUUCCAAGUUCACUCCCUUUUGUUCUAUGUCUAAAUUGAAGGGUUGUGCUACAGUAAAUCUGGAACAUUAAUUUGUGUAAGAAUAACCCAGAUAUUUGUUAAUAAGGAUUUUCCUUAACCUUGUCCAAAUGAUUCAGAUUCAGAGAUCUGGGUUGCCACCCAGAAAUAUACAUUUUUAAGGAGUACUCUAAGAUCUAGAAUCUAGGAGACUUCAUAUACUGUACCUUGAGAAAUGAUGAACACUUUGUUUCUAAGGCUCUUUCCAGCUAUAAAAUGUUUAGGCCUUGUAGAAUAGAAAAUGGUAAAAAGAAAACAGAGGAAUAAACAUGAGUGAUGACAUAGAAGGACACAUAAUAUUAAUGAAAGUCUCACUCUUCAUCAGUGCAUACUGCCAAUAUGCCAAGCAAGGUACAUGUAAUUGGUGAUAAAGAGAUGAAGGGGAGCUCUCAGUCUACUAGAGGUGACAGAAAAUAAACAAAUAAUUAUGAUGCAGUAAUGUAAGUGCAGUAAUGGAGGGGAAAACAAAAAAGUAUUCUCCUCUCUGAUGGAAAGAAUAAGGAUGAAAAGGGAUUAUUUUUCUAUCUUUUUUAUUUUCUUCUUUCCUUCUCCUCUUCCUUAUUAUAUAUAAUAUAAUAUAAUAUAUAUAUUAUAUUAUAUUAUAUAUUCUAAUAUCCACCUCCAAGAUGACUAAUAUCAAUACCUAAUGUUUUCAUCUGUAUUAUCUCCAUUGUCAUUUAAUUUUAUACAGAUACUAGCUACAUUCAUAAACAAAUACACACAUAUAUCUGAUUUUUUUCAUUGUUUACCAUGCUGUGGCAGAUAGCUCUGAGACUUCUGAUAUUCUCACCCAUGUAUAACUCCCUCACCUUGAGUAAGGGUGUGAUCUAUGGCUUAUGAUCUAGUAAAUUGAGUACACCAAAGGUUAUUGGGUGUACAUGAUUACAGGCAUGUGAUUAUGUUACAUAAAAUUGUAAUACCUAUCUUGAUGAAAGACUGUCUCUAUGUUGCUGGUUUUGAGGAAGUAAGAGGCCAUAUUUGAAAAAAAUCUCAUGGCAAGGAACUGAGGGCAUCCCCCAUCUGAUAAUCAGAAAGAAACUUGGGCCUACAGUCCACCAACUCACAAAAAACUGAAUGCUGCAGCAACCACAUGAGCUGAGAAGUGAAUCCUUCCCCAGUCAAGCCUCAGUUGAGACCCCAGCCUCAGCUGACACCUGGAUUGAAGCCUUGUGAGAUCCUGAAGAGAGGACUCAGUUAAACCAUGCCCAGACUCCUGAUUCACAGACUAGAGAAAAUAAAUGUGUGCCAUUUUAAUUCACUGA